ensembl:lncRNA
UCUUUUCAAGUCAUAGCUUCUCUGGAUAAAUGCCCAGGAAUGGGAUUGCUGGAUCAAAUGCUAAUUCUAUUUUUAGUUUUCUGAGGAAUCUCCAUACUGUUUUCCACAGUGAUUGCACCAAUUUAUAUUCCUACCAACAGUAUAAGAGGGUUCCCUUUUCUCCACACCCUCUCCAGCACUUAUUGUUUGUAGACUUUUUGAUGAUGGCCAUUCUGGCAGGUGUAAGGUGAUACCUCAUAGUGGUUUUGAUUUUCAUUUUUCUAAUAAUUAGUGAUGCCGAACAUCUUUUCAUGUGUUUUUUGGCCAUCUGUAUAUCUUCUUUAGAGAAUUGUGUGUUUAGAUCUUCUGCCCAUUGUUUUGAUGGAGUUUUUUAUUUUUUUUGGUAUUGAGCUGCAGAAGGUGGUUAUAAAUUUUGAUGAUUAAUCCCUUAUCAGUCGCUUCAUUUGCAAAUAUUUUCUCCCAUUCGGUGGGCUGUCUCUUUGUUUUGUUUAGAGUUUCCAUCUCUUCACGAUUUCAAAAAACGAAAAAGAAAUGUAGCUCUGAUUUGUUUAAUGUUGUUUCUUCUGACAAGAUAUAAAAGUCUUGAAAGCCUUGCUUCUACCAAGCAGUUUCUCAGUGUAAUCUGGCUUUGGGGCUAGUCCUCAGUCUGGCUCAAAUAAAACCCUUAUUUUGGAGUCGUGGCUCAGCGGUUAAUGAACCCAAAUAGCAUCCAUGGGGACAUGGGUUUGAUCCCUGGCCUCGUUCAGUCAGUUGAGGAUCCGGCCUUGCAGAGAGCUGUGGUGUUGGUCGCAGAUGCAGCUCAGAUCUGGCAUUGCUGUAGCUGUGGUGUAGGCCGGUUACUGUAGCUCUGAUUGGACCCCUAGCCUGGGAGCUCCAUGUGCUGUGGGGUGUUCCCCUAAAAGUCAAAAAGACAAAAAAAAAAAAAAAAACUCUUAUCUAUUCUUAUUAUUGAUUGUUUUGUUUUCUUUUCUUUUUAGGUCCACAACUAUGGCAUAUAGAAGUUCCUGGGCUAGGAGUUGAAAAAAACUGCAGCUUGCAGCUGCCAGCCUAUGCCAUAGCCACAGCAAUACCAGAGGAUCCAAGCUACAUCCAUGACCUACACGGCAGCUUGAGCCAAUGCUGGAUCCUUAACCCACUGAGUGAGGCCAGGGAUUGAACUCACAUUCUCAGGGACACUAUGUCAAAGUCUUAACUCACUGAGCCACAAAUGGAACUCCUAUUGAUUGUUUAUUGAUUGUUUUCAUUAACAGUACUAAAUUUGAGCCACCAUUGUAAAAGAUUGUAAGAAUGCAAUGUGUUAGAAUGCAUUUUUUAAAAUAGGAGAAUCAAGUAGACUAAAAGUUAUUUCAAAGAAUAUGAACUAGCAAUUUAAAAUUACAUCUAGGAGUGAUAGGAGUCAGCAAAGAACAAACUCUUUUAAAAAUAAAUCUGUCAAUCUCAUGGCUAUAAUGACAAUUUGCUUUUGAACUGCCUUCUAAAGUUAGUUAAGGACUAUUAGAAAAAAUUAAAAUGUUACAAUGAUAAAUUGAAGUCUGAGCUAAAAUAUUUGUUUUUAAACAAGCUGAAGUUAGUAUUUCAAUAGUAAUAAAAUCAUCAUUAGAUAAAAAUGAGACCAAAACAAUCCAACCCACUUGAAAAAUACUAAAUAUAUCCCUAGAUAACAUUACAAAAAAAAUGUAAAAGAUUAGCAGAAAUAUUAGAAAAUGUUUUAAUACAAAUAACAGACAAGUAAUGGCUGUUAAAAAAAAAAAGCAUUAAAAAAUCAUGAAGAAAAUCAUGUGGUACUGUGUAGCACAGGGAACUCUGCUCAAUAUUCUAUAAUAACCUAGAUGAGAAAAGAAGCUGAAAAAGAGUGGAUAGUGGUAUAUGCAUAACUGAAUCAUUUUGAUGUACUCUUAAAAUUAAUACAACAUUGUAAAUCAAUUAUACUCCAAUAAAAUUUUUAAAAAGGAAAAACUCAAAUUUAUCUUUUAGAAAAUAGACAAAACAUGCAUGAAAAGACAGGUCCCAGAACAGAGCUCAAUAUAAACAAAGUGACAUGUAAAAAAAUGCCCCAAAUUUUAGGUAAUCAGAGAAAUACAAAUUUAAGUAAAAGUGGGAUAUCAUAUUAUGCUCAUCAGAUUGGCAAACAUGAAAGAGACCACAUUUGUUUGUAUCAGGGAUCUGAAUGUCUGUCUUAACAUACCAUGUCAGAAAUAUAAAUCAUUACAUCAUUUUGGGAAAGCAACUUGAUAACACCUUCUACAAUUAGAUCAUAUUAUAUAUAUAUACCAUAUAUCAUAAAAUCAAUCCCAUAAUGAUACAAAUAAUACUUAAAUUUACAUAUAUUUGUAUUUAUUGCUGCUUCAUAAUGUAAAGAGAAUAAGUAUAUUAUUAUUGAUUUAAAAAAAUCAUGAUUAAAAGAAUCUUAAUUCGGCCAUAAAAAGGACAGAGUAAUGCCAUUUGCAGCAACAUGGACCUAGAGAUUAUCAUACUCUAGUCAAGUAAAUCAGACAAAGAAAAGCGCCAUGUUAUAACUUAAAUGUGGAAUCUAAAAAAAAAGUGAUUAAAAAUGAACUUA